CUUGUAACAGACAAACAAUAACAAGUUAGAAAGUAUAAAAAGAGGUAUCAGUCAAAAUAGCAUGAAUAUGUAAAGACAUGGAAAAUAUUUUAAUGAGAAAAUUAUAAUCCACAUAAAAAUACUGAGAUAUACUUAAUGCAAUGAGCGAAAAUAAAAUGUUAUAACCAUGUCAAACAUUCCAAAAGGUGUAAGUUUACUACGAAUGGCAAUAAAAAUCCCACAAGACUUUUUGGAACUCAACAAGAUGAUUCUGUCAGCAAAAAUAAACACUCAAUUAUUUUUUGAUUUUCUAAAUUAAUUUUCUGAAUUUUUAUUUGCAAACUAGUUAGAAGACUGUAAACUCAAGAACAGACCUGUCAAACAAACCACUACAGGACAGACUCAAAAAUGAAUCUAAUAUAAUAUAUAAGGUAAUUUAAUGUUAGAAGAAGGAGGGGAAGGGGAAAUUUUCAAUAAAUAGUGUUGCAAUAACUGGUCAGCAAUCUGAUACCCCCUACAUUAAUUACAGGUAUCUUUAAAAAGUUAAAGUUUUUAGAGACAAACAGAAAAUAGAAAGAACUAAAAUGAAGAAUUCAUGAAAGUUCUAAAGAGGUGAGGGUUAUCUAAGGUUACAAACUGCAGGGAAGUCAAAACGGAAACAAAACUUAAAAUACAUAAACUGAAACAUCUAGCUAGUUCUUAAUAGGCUAUCUGUAGCCAAAACAUAAAAGCAAAUAAGGGACUAGAAAAAAAAUCUGAAGUAAACAGGACAAUGAGGUAUUUUAUUAAAUUCAGAAAUAGUACUAACAAAAUUUAUAAACCUUUGAUAGCCAAGCAGGACAAGGUUAUGAGCAGGCCAUGACCUUGAGCAGACCGCAAAAUGUGAGCAGUUUGCUAGAAACAGAAACGGAAUGCCAAAGGGUAUGUGCAUUUAAAAUUCUGACAUAUACCAAACUGGUCUGACAAAAAGGCUAUACUCUUUACAUUCCCACCUACAGUGUACGAGAGAAUCUGGUCUCCCAUAACCUCAUAAGCAUAGCAUUGUCGAACUUUAAUUUUUGUCAAUCUGACAGGCAAACAAAAAAAAAUCAUUUAACGUGCUUUUCCCUAAGGUUAGCCACCUUUACAGAUAUUUAUUUAUGCCAUUCUCCAGACUAAUAGCUCAAAAUUACAUACAAGAUUAUCUGGCUACCGUAGCCUACUUUGUACCAUUCUCUAUGCCCUCGCCCAGGGAAGCAGCACAAAUGGUCAAUUUAUUCAAUAAGUCACUGACCAAAAAUUAUUUCUCUUAACUCCACUAAAGUAACAGCAACCUGCAAUACCUGAGGUGGUCUCUGUUAAAGGCAUUUCUUUACUUUUUUUUUCCUUUUUUUUUUUUUUUUGACAUAGGGUCUUGCUCUAUAAUCCAGGCGAGAGUGCAGUGGCAUGAUCACAGCUCACUGUAGCCAUGACCGCCCAGGCUCAAGUGAUCCUCCCCACUUCAGCUUCCCAAGUAGCUGGGACUACAGGUGUGCACCAGCAUCUCUGGCUAAAUUUUUUUGUUGUUCUUUUUUGUAGAGACAGGAUCUCGCUAUAUUGCCCAGGCUGAUCUUGAACUCCUGGCCUUAAGCAAUCCUCCCACCUUGGCCACCCAAAGUGCUGGGAUUACAGGCAUGAGCCAAUGCACUCAGCUCAGUUUUUUUUUUUUGGGGGGGGCGUUCAGCGGUAUAUUUUAUUUCUUUAGAACAUCAGGUGCAGAGCUGUUUACAUCUUUCAAAAACAUCAACUCUUCUUUUUGACGACAAAAUGGUGAAUAAAUUAAAUUCAGAACUACAGUUUGUGAAGACACAUGACAUUUAUGAUUCAUGAAAUAGAAGUCAUGUACUGCUAAAAUAAAGUUUCAACUGAGAAAUACAGAUUUAAUUAAAACUGUGCCCUAUUCAGUGUUUGAAUCCCUACUACGAAAAUCAACUGUACAAUGAUUACUGAGUAAUCAUCUCAAAUAUAACUUCAGGUGCUGUUUAAUGUCACCUUACAGCAGAGUUCUUAGACUCAGGUGUGCAUGGGUACAAUAUUGGAAAUUUGUC
rnacentral:lncRNA from 10 species